ensembl:lncRNA
CUGUUGCAAGUCGCAAGCUUAAAGAGAAGCAAAAGAUACUGAAUCUACCUGCCCAUAAGCUGGUGAAUGAUGGGGUGACCAGAUGGAACAGCACAUUGGAGAUGCUGGAACGCUUCCUAGAGCAACAACCAGCAAUCUCUGCAGCUCUACUCUCACCUGAAGUGAGGAGAAAUGACAGUAAUCUCUGUAGUCUUACAGAGGCUGACAUAACUGAUGGAGAAGAUAUAGUGAAAGCUUUGAAGCCGCUGAAAGCAGCCACACUGGUUAUGUCUGAAGAAAAGUCCCCGACCCUUUCCAUCAUUGCACCUCUGCAUGCACAGCUGCUGGAGAAGAUGAUCAGUGUCUCUCACGACUCCUCACUGAUUAAAGACCUCAAGACUGCUGUAUACGACAACUUGAAGUCAAGAUAUGUGGCCCUAAAGGACAAGCUGUACAUUGCAUCAGCAUUAGAUCCUCGCUUUAAGGCCCUGCCAUUCUUGUCCAAAGAGACCUGUAACAACACAUUCUCUCAGUUGGUGUUGGAAGCAGCAGGUUUGGAGAACGUGGACACAGCUAUUCGACAGUCUGAUGGUGACACAUCUGAGGAAACUGUCCCUGACAUCUCUCUUGGUGGUGUUGAUGAAGUGGAUUAUGCCCCUCCAAUUAAGAGGUCAAAGGACUCUGCAUUAAUUUUUCUCCUUGGGCCAGCCUACUCAACAAAAACCACAGCACCACAGAAAACACCAACUCAGAAGGCAAAGGAAGAAGUGAAUCGAUACAGGGACG